rnacentral:tRNA from 1 species
GGGGGUGUAGCUCAGUGGUAGAGCACUUGCCUAGCAUGGGCAACGUCUUGGGUUCCAUUCCUAGCACCACAA